UUGUUUCUAGGUGAGACGAGUGCUCCGACGAAAAGGGUGGGUGAAUAGUUUUGAUCAGCCGGUCCACUUUCGGUGUCCGGACGACGGCUUCAUACAUGGCAUGAGGAGCGAGCACAACAACCACCACGAAGACCGGAUAUGGGGCUUCUUUUGCUGCAAGAUUCCAGUUAGGAUUCGAACAGAUAGAAAUCUACAUGAUCAGCUGUCAACACACCGGCUGGACAAAUGAUUGGGAUGGCGACCAGAGCUUCUUUGUGCCCGCUGAACACGUGAUGGUGGGCGUGACGUCAGAGCAUGACAGCCACCACGAAGAUCGGCGCUUCGCCUACGAAGUAUGCCGAAUUCUUCACGGAGGCGAAAUUAUUGUUGGUUAAAGAUUUUGCAAAGCCAUCAUUCGAAAUACAAAGUUAAUAAAUGAAUGAAAAUAAUUCGUUGCGAAUUAAUUAAGUGCUGUUUUCAAACAUUUAAAUUUAUUGUUAUGAUUAUUAAGGUGUACAUCUCUACACGGACAGUAACCGAUAAAAUUAUGACCUCUCUGGUGUUAUUUUAUAUACAUAUACAAUUUCCUUACAAUGACUCGUAAAUAAAACGCAUACUUCCAAUGAUAUUUGUUUUAAUAUAUUAUUUUACUCGAAUAUUUGUAUCAAUAUGUUUUACAUUUGAAAACCAAGUUAGAUUUAAUGGCAUUGUAUGGGAUAUAAAUUAUUCA